rnacentral:lncRNA from 1 species
CCAACCUCCGGCACCUGCUCCAAGACCACCACCCCGGCGCCCCCCUGGACGACCGCCUCCAGCGUACACUCCUCCACCUCCUUCAGCUGGACCACCGCCUCAAGUUCCCUCGCCACGACCCCCACCUUCAUUUCCUCCUCCACCUCCUGUGGCGAGACCUCC